AUGUUCUCCACACCUAUUCCUUUGUGUAAAAAAUUCUAAAAUCUUAGCUGAAGUCAAUAUACCACUUCACACUAAUUUGCUACGGCUCUAUUUGUCCCAUUUUCCAAGACUGUUUAGUGUUUUCCAGCAUCUGAUUUUCUUUCCCACUGCUGUUUUGCACUCUCCAAAGUCCACUGGAAAUGUUUAAUAAUCUAAUUUACAGGCUCUUUAGAAACCUCUAGAGAAAAUUCAGACUCAGCUAACACUCCAGGUUCCCCUUAUCGAUACACUUUGCCUUUUUUAUUCCCCGACAGGAGAGGCUUGCUUUCUUUGUCAUCACUGAAGAUAUUAAUAUCUAACAAAGAAUCUUUUCUAGCUUCUUGAACUGAUAAAAGACUUAAGAAAAAAUAAACUUCCACUAAUUUAUUAUCACAGACUACCUAAAUUCUUCAAUUCCAUGCUACUUUCUUACAUAAAUUCUCCCUGACUGUGCUGAUUUUGUUUUUCCAUCUGACUUUUUAAAUCCCUGGAGAAGGCUAAGAUACUAAGGAAGCACAAGAAUUCUAGUGUACCCUGAAGACCAGAGGCUCUCCAGGAGUCCUCCAUGAUCUCAUACCAGUUUGGGCCUGCUGAGGCACCCAGUCUUAAGGACUGAAUGGCUACUGGGGUUUUGGCCUCUCCAACAUGAAGACAGACAUUGUUGGACAACCCAGACCCUAUUAUGUAAACCACACCUCUAGAGAAGCCUCACUAAUACAAAAGGAGAAAGGACUGAUUGGUUUCUUGAUUGAGUGGUUUUCAACUGUGACUCCAGCCGAGGAUCACAAGCUAAGCCUGAAGCGUUACUCCAUCAGCUGCAGUGAGCAGAGUGUGGCUCUCCAGAGAUGGAAAACCUUCAAAGAUCAUCAUCAUCAAAGGACCCUGCUUGAAUCUACAGCCAUUCACAGCCUGCACCCUGCUAUUCUGUGAGCUUUCUGAGUGGCUCCUGACACUAGAAAAUCAUCAAUGAAUAUACAUCUCAAGGAAACAACCAUAAAGGACAUGUUACAGAAUGCAGAAUUUGGGGCUUCUGCCCUUUGUGAUCAUCAACAUUUUCAUUUCCCUUACACACAUACUGAAUAUUAUAUUAUAUAAAAUGCUAUGCUUUCUAAGAAGCAGUCUGUAAGAGAGGCACGGGACUAAGUGUCACUCUCUUUUAAAGAUUAAGCUGAGAUUUAAAGACGACAACCUUCUUGCCCCUUGUUACAGGAAAAAUAAAUAAUGGAGAAGGGACUGGAUCCCAGUUGUGUUUUUCUAAAAUUCCAAGUUCAGUGUCCUCUAACUACACAACACUGAAGAAGUACCAUGCAGCAGGACAAAUGUAAGGAUAACUAUCCCACUCAUCUAUUUUUAACUAAUCUUACUUGCCUUCCUUCCCUCAAGCAGCUGUGUGGCAGUGUUUACUUAACUACUCCUUCAUGAUAAGUAACUUUUAUCCUAAGUUUCCUGGGGGAUAUAAAUUUUUCUGUUUAGCUUUCUAGUAGUUACUCAAAAGAAGGUCAUUUAUAUACUUAUAUAUAUUGCUCUGAGCUAUAUUUUCAAAAUUAUGGGCUCUCCCCUCCUGAUGCAGGGAUAGCAUAGAAACAUAUCCUUGCAGUCUCCUCUACUCCUAAAAUCCUAAGAUGUGAUUUUUUAAAAAAUUGACUGUGUAUUUUGCAGUAGCAAAAUUUUAUGAGCAGGGCAUAUUUGUGACCUGACUAAAUUAUCACUGGUAUUUGCUAGAUGAUUUUAGGCAUUAUCUAAUGUACUACUUGAAAUAUCCAUUUGCAGGUAGAUACCAUUAUUGUAUUUUAUUGGUGGUAAUGCACACUCUGCUAUCUAAGUAAUGUUUUAGUUCACCUG
ensembl:lncRNA